UACAUGGGGUGCAAACGUUGCUCGGAAUUAUUGGGCGUAAAGCGCGCGUAGGCGGUUACUUAAGUCGGAUGUGAAAGCCCUCGGCUUAACUGAGGAAGUGCACCCGAAACUGAGUAGCUAGAGUACGAAAGAGGGUCGCGGAAUUCCCGGUGUGGAGGUGAAAUUCGUAGAUAUCGGGAGGAACACCGGUGGCGAAGGCGGCGACCUGGGUCGAGACUGACGCUGAGGCGCGAAAGCGUGGGGAGCAAACGGG
rnacentral:rRNA from 1 species